rnacentral:rRNA from 1 species
UACAUAGGGGGCAAGCGUUGUCCGGAUUUAUUGGGCGUAAAGAGCGUGUAGGCGGCCAGACAGGUCCGUUGUGAAAACUCGAGGCUCAACCUCGAGAUGUCGAUGGAAACCGUCUGGCUAGAGUCCGGAAGAGGAGUGUGAAAUUCCUGGUGUAGCGGUGAAAUGCGCAGAUAUCAGGAGGAACACCGAUGGCGAAGGCAGGUCUCUGGGCAUUAACUGACGCUGAGGAGCGAAAGCAUGGGGAGCGAACAGG